GGAAGGUGCAAGCGUUAAUCGGAAUUACUGGGCGUAAAGCGCGCGUAGGCGGCUAGAUAAGUCGGAUGUGAAAGCCCCGGGCUCAACCUGGGAACGGCAUUCGAUACUGUUUAGCUAGAGUGUGAUAGAGGGAUGCGGAAUUCCGCAUGUAGCGGUGAAAUGCGUAGAGAUGCGGAGGAACACCAAUGGCGAAGGCAGCAUCCUGGAUUAACACUGACGCUGAGGCGCGAAAGCGUGGGGAGCAAACAGGAUUAGAUACCCUGGUAGUCCCACGCCCGUAAACGAUGUCAACUAGCCGUUGGGGGCACUUUGGCCCCUAGUGGCGUAGCUAACGCGAUAAGUUGACCGCCUGGGAGUACGGUCGCAAGAUUA
rnacentral:rRNA from 1 species